GCAACGAGCGCAACCCUUAUGCUUAGUUGCCAGCAGGUCAAGCUGGGCACUCUAAGCAGACUGCCGGUGACAAACCGGAGGAAGGUGGGGAUGACGUCAAAUCAUCAUGCCCCUUAUGACCUGGGCUACACACGUACUACAAUGGCCGGUACAACGGGAAGCGAAAUCGCGAGGUGGAGCCAAUCCUAGAAAAGCCGGUCUCAGUUCGGAUUUGUAGGCUGCAACUCGCCUACAUGAAGUCGGAAUUUGCUAGUAAUCGCGGAUCAGCAUGCCGCGGUGAAUACGUUCCCGGGUCUUGUACACACCGCCCGUCACACCACGAGAGUUUACAACACCCGAAGUCGGUGGGGUAACCCGCAAGGGAGCCAGCCGCCGAAGGUGGGGUAGAUGAUUGGGUGAAGUCGUA
rnacentral:rRNA from 1 species